rnacentral:rRNA from 1 species
GAUGAACGCUAGCGGCAGGCCUAAUACAUGCAAGUCGGACGGGAUUCAGGAGCUUGCUUCUGAUGAGAGUGGCGCACGGGUGCGUAACACGUAUGUAACCUACCUUUAUCAGGGGGAUAGCCUCUCGAAAGAGAGAUUAAGCCCGCAUAAAAUCACAGCACAGCAUUGUGUAAUGAUCAAAUAUUUAUAGGAUAAAGAUGGGCAUGCGGAACAUUAGCUAGAUGGCGGGGUAACGGCCCACCAUGGCGACGAUGUUUAGGGGAUCUGAGAGGAUGGCCCCCCACACUGGUACUGAGACACGGACCAGACUCCUACGGGAGGCAGCAGUAAGGAAUAUUGGUCAAUGGGCGGAAGCCUGAACCAGCCAUGCCGCGUGCAGGAAGACGGCCCUACGGGUUGUAAACUGCUUUUAUACGGGAAUAAACACAGAUACGUGUAUCUGGCUGAAUGUACUGUAAGAAUAAGGAUCGGCUAACUCCGUG